AGAGUGAACGCUGGCGGCAGGCCUAACACAUGCAAGUCGAACGGCAGCACAGGAGAGCUUGCUCUCUGGGUGGCGAGUGGCGGACGGGUGAGGAAUACGUCGGAAUCUGCCUAUUUGUGGGGGAUAACCUCGGGAAACCGGGACUAAUACCGCAUACGACCUACGGGUGAAAGCGGAGGACCUUCGGGCUUCGCGCAGAUAGAUGAGCCGACGUCGGAUUAGCUAGUUGGCGGGGUAAAGGCCCACCAAGGCGACGAUCCGUAGCUGGUCUGAGAGGAUGAUCAGCCACACUGGAACUGAGACACGGUCCAGACUCCGUACGGAGCAGCAGUGGGGAAUAUUGGACAAGUGGGCGCAAAGCCUGAUCCAGUCCAGUCGCCGCGUGUGAGAAGAACGGCCUUCGGUUAGUAAACGCUACGUUUUAGGUUGGGAAAGUAAAAGCUAACGUGGUUUAAUACCCCGGUAGU
rnacentral:rRNA from 1 species